rnacentral:miRNA from 2 species
UAACGUGUCUCCUAUUUUUAGGGA